UGGAUCCAGACUUUCCUCAUGGCUCAGGAUGAACGCUAGCUACAGGCUUAACACAUGCAAGUCGAGGGGAAACGAUAGAGAAAGCCUGCUUUUUCUAGGCGUCGACCGGCGCACGGGUGAGUAACGCGUAUCCUACCUGCCCAUCACUUGGGGAUAACCUUGCGAAAGUAAGACUAAUACCCAAUGACGUCCAUAGAAGACAUCUGAAGUGGAUUAAAGAUUUAUCGGUGAUGGAUGGGGAUGCGUCUGAUUAGCUUGUUGGCGGGGUAACGGCCCACCAAGGCGACGAUCAGUAGGGGUUCUGAGAGGAAGGUCCCCCACAUUGGAACUGAGACACGGUCCAAACUCCUACGGGAGGCAGCAGUGAGGAAUAUUGGUCAAUGGGCGAGAGCCUGAACCAGCCAAGUAGCGUGCAGGAUGACGGCCCUAUGGGUUGUAAACUGCUUUUAUAAGGGAAUAAAGUGAGUCUCGUGAGACUUUUUGCAUGUACCUUAUGAAUAAGGACCGGCUAAUUCCGUGCCAGCAGCCGCGGUAAUACGGAAGGUCCGGGCGUUAUCCGGAUUUAUUGGGUUUAAAGGGAGCGUAGGCCGGAGAUUAAGCGUGUUGCGAAAUGUAGACGCUCAACGUCUGCACUGCAGCGCGAACUGGUUUCCUUGAGUACGCACAAAGUGGGCGGAAUUCGUGGUGUAGCGGUGAAAUGCUUAGAUAUCACGAAGAACUCCGAUUGCGAAGGCAGCUCACUGGAGCGCAACUGACGCUGAAGCUCGAAAGUGCGGGUAUCGAACAGGAUUAGAUACCCUGGUAGUCCGCACGGUAAACGAUGGAUGCCCGCUGUUGGUCUGAAUAGGUCAGCGGCCAAGCGAAAGCAUUAAGCAUCCCACCUGGGGAGUACGCCGGCAACGGUGCAACUCAAAGGAAUUGACGGA
rnacentral:rRNA from 1 species